CCUACGUGAGACAGCAGUGAGGAAUAUUGGUCAAUGGACGGAAGUCUGAACCAGCCAUGCCGCGUGAAGGAUGACGGCUCUAUGAGUUGUAACCUGCUUUUGUACGAGAAUAAUAGUUCUUACGUGUAGGGAUUUGAAUGUCUCGUACGACUAAGGAUCGGCUAACUCCGUUCCAGCAGCCGCAGUAAUACGGAGGAUUCGAGCGUUAUCCGGAUUUAUUUGGUUUAAAGGGUGCGUAGGUUGUUGGAUAAGUGAGAUGUAAAAUGUCGGGGCUUAACCCCGUGCCUGCCUCUGAUACUGUGCGACUAGAGAGCUGAUGCAGCAGGCGGAAUGAGUAGUGUAGCGGUGAAAUGCUUAGAUAUUACUCAGAACACCGAUUGCGCAGGCAGCUUGCUAAUCCGCAUCUGACGCUGAUGCACGAAAGCGUGGGUAGCGAACAGGAUUAGAUACCCGGGUAGUC
rnacentral:rRNA from 1 species